CGCUCCCUGGGGUGUUUGCCAGUCGAUAAAGACCUCGAGCCGAUGCUUAUUACCCAGGAGGGUUUCAUUCACGCUUGUGUGCAUGUCCGUUCAUCGGAAAGCCUAAUAUCGUGAUUGGCCCGCCACCUUGAACCACAGGGUUCAAGGGCUUUUUUUGGCAGCGGCACAACGGGGAGCUC
rnacentral:other from 1 species